rnacentral:rRNA from 1 species
UACGUAGGGUGCGAGCGUUGCCCGGAUUUAUUGGGCGUAAAGGGCGCGUAGGCGGCUCGGCACGUCCGUUGUGAAAUCGCCCGGCUCAACUGGGCGGGGUCAGCGGAUACGGCCGAGCUUGAGCAAGCUAGGGGGCAAUGGAAUUCCCGGUGUAGUGGUGGAAUGCGUAGAUAUCGGGAGGAACACCAGUGGCGAAAGCGGCUUCCUGGACCAGAACUGACGAUCAGGCUCGAAAGCGUGGGGAGCAAACAGG